CAGAAUCCCUGAAAUUCUCUACCCUGGAGUGGUGAGGAGGCUGAGUCAUUGGGAGUAUUUAAGCAGACUCAUGGACUAAACCAGAUCAAAUCUGGACACAACCCUCCCCACCAUUAAAAGCAUCUACAUCAGAUCUCAUAAUGAAGGACAGUGAGUUGAGCCUGAUCUUGGACAUAUAAUGGAAUCUGUCUGAAGCUGAAAGCUGACACCAUUACUAAAGCAAAGCUGUGGCAAAGGAUGUAACCAUGACAACUUUGUCUCUCUCUGUAUGAUAUACUUUAAAGAGCAAGGCAGAAGUACUGUGACUGCAGCUGUUGAAAUGUUGUAUAACUUCCAGACUUGGUAUUAUUAAAGGAUCUAAUAAUUUGAAAUGGUGAACAUCUAAUAAAUUACAAAUAUUUAGUUUGA